rnacentral:piRNA from 1 species
AUUUCAUGAUGGCCUUUACUGUG